GAUGAACGCUGGCGGCGUGCUUAACACAUGCAAGUCGAACGAAGCACCUCGAUUUGCUUCUUCGGAUGGAGAUCUUGGUGACUGAGUGGCGGACGGGUUAGUAACGCGUGGGUAACAUGCCUCAUACAGGGGGGUAACAGUUAGAAAUGACUGCGAAUACCGCAUAAGACGACAGCACCGCAUGGUGCGGGGGGAAAAAGUCCGGUGGUAUGAGAGCGACCCGCGUCGGAUUUGGUAGUUGGUGGGGUAACGGCGUACCCAGCCGACGACCGGUAGCCGACGUGGGAGGGCGACAUGCCACAUUGGGACCGAGCCACAGUCCAAAGGCCUGCGGGAGGGAGGAGUGGGGAAUAUUGGACAAUGGGCGGAAGCCUGAUGGAGCCGCGCCGCGUGAGCGCUGAAGUGUUGUGGUAUGUAAUGCUCUGUGAGCAGGGAAGAUAAUGACGGUACCUGAAGAAGAAGCACCGGCUAAAUACGUG
rnacentral:rRNA from 1 species